GAUGAACGCUGGCGGCGUGCCUAACACAUGCAAGUCGAACGGAGAUUACGGACGGAAGUUUUCGGAUGGAAGACUGUAAUUCUUAGUGGCGGACGGGUGAGUAACGCGUGGGCAACCUGCCCUAUACAGGGGGAUAGCAGCUGGAAACGGCUGGUAAGACCGCAUAAGUCGGCGAGACCGCAUGGUUUUGCCGGGAAAUGAGCAAUCAGGUAUAGGAUGGGCCCGCGUCCGAUUAGCCAGUUGGCAGGGUAAAAGCCUACCAAAGCAACGAUCGGUAGCCGGACUGAGAGGGCGGACGGCCACAUUGGGACUGAGACACGGCCCAAACUCCUACGGGAGGCAGCAGUGGGGGAUAUUGCACAAUGGAGGAAACUCUGAUGCAGCGACGCCGCGUGAGUGAAGAAGUAUUUCGGUAUGUAAAGCUCUAUCAGCAGGGAAGAUGAUGACGGUACCUGACUAAGAAGCCCCGGCUAACUACGUG
rnacentral:rRNA from 1 species